CCAAUAGCGUAUAUUAAAGUUGUUGCAGUUAAAAAGCUCGUAGUUGAAUUUCGGGAUUCGUCCAUUGGUCAGGCUUAACUGUCUGUACUGGUGUGUCGGAUUUCUACCUUCUGAAGAACCUUCAUGCCAUUAAUUUGGUGUGUUGGGGAAUCAGGACUGUUACUUUGAAAAAAUUAGAGUGUUUAAAGCAGGCUAACGUCUGAAUACAUUAGCAUGGAAUAAUGAAAUAGGACGGUACGGUUCUAUUUUGUUGGUUUCUAGGAUCGCCGUAAUUAUUAAUAGGGAUAGUUGGUGGCAUUAGUAUUCAAUUGUCAGAGGUGGAAUUCUUGGAUUUAUUGAAGACUAACUACUGCGAAAGCAUUUGCCAAGGAUGUUUUCAUUAAUCAAGAACGAAAGUUAGGGGAUCGAAGACGAUCAGAUACCGUCGUAGUCUUAACCAUAAACUAUGCCGACUAGGGAUUGGACGAUGUUAAUUUUUUAAUGACUCGUUCAGCACCUUACG
rnacentral:rRNA from 1 species